CACACUUUCUGCUUUCUACAAGUGGUAGAUCUAUUUCACAAACUUUAGUGAUUUUAUCCCAAUGAAAUGAUUCUUGUCACUGAAAAACUGAUGACAUGUAUUUUUUCUAAAAUGUCAAGAAGUUGAUGAGUUCAUUUAUGGUUGCUAAACUUUAAUAGUGUCUAAAUACAGGAAUUGGUCUUUUUUUCCUUGUUUCUUUCUUUCUUUCUUUCUUUUUAAUACUUUUGCUGGAUUAGUAGCAGCCACUAAAUGACAUGAUGCUAAAUCAGAACUUUUGUUUUUCCCCAGUUUGAAAGAAAAAAAAGGCAAAACCUCACCUCAGCACCAAAUGAGGCAGCUCAUGCUGGUUUUGGAAAAGGAAUUAGCUCCAGAGAGAAAAAUAACAAACUCCGUCUUGAGGUCCUUCCUAUAUAUUGAAAAGGCCAGUUUGGAAAGGAAAUGCGGAAAACCAAACAGAAGGUGCCCAGGUCUCUUUAUCAUACCUGGAGAGGGCCUUGCUUAACUCCGCACAGCCAUGCCCUGGCGCCACGUCUCCCUUCUUUUCCUUCCCCCUCCCCUCUUAAAAUGGCACCCACUGCUCUAUAAAAUGAUCUAUUGGGACUUCAAAGCUCUGUCAAUUGCAUGUGGCACAGGAUGUACGCAAUUAAUUAUGUGAUGCUUAAAUGACAGGGUGUAGGGAAAAUAGGGGCGGAGAAGAAAAAGGUUUUUUUUUUUAGAAAAAGAAAAAAAAAUAUCCCAACUAAACUGAAAGGGUUGGUUGUCUGCCUGCCAAGAACCAGUAGCAGAUAAGGCCUCCAGUUGCUGUGGAAACUCGGGCCUCCAGGAGCCAGAAUCCAAUUUCAAAAACCACAAAAUCAACAUAAACGUGUGCAAAAAUAAAAAGGUUUGUUUGGCAAGUAAUAAGGAGAAGGCUACCAAUGUAUAAAACAUAUGAACCAAGGUGACCUCAGCCCACCGAAGCCAUAAUGACGAUGAUGUCCACAGCAGAUUUGGCACCUCUGAAAUGAGCAGUAACAAGACACAGUCCGUGCUGCUUUCUGUUAUCAGGUAAUUGCUACCUUUUUGAAAUAUUGCCUUCCACCCCCUCUUCCAUGCCUCACCUCAAAAAAACAUAACACCACCCUUCAUGAAGGUAAUGCUAGAAACCUUGAUUUUAACCAGGAGGCCAGAAAACAGAGACAGCUAGACUUUCUCUUGUUCCUUUAGAUCAUGAAUUCCAUGGUAUAUCAUCCAGGAUAAAUAAAUAUGAAAGAAAAUAGAUGAUGUAUGCAUGCACUCACAGAAGUCUUUAUUCAGUAUCUACAAGGAGCAACUCUAUGCCAAUGGACAAAUCAACCUUCACAUCUGAACUCCUAAUAAUUAUCAACCUUAAUGUUAUUGUGAACUCUAUUUAGUUUAUUUAAUUUUGGAAUUUAAAAGCAUACUCUAAAAUACAAGCCCUUUGAUGGU
rnacentral:lncRNA from 1 species